AGAUCCUCUCCUCUGAAGAGAGCAUCAUUGAGGAAAAGCAAUGAGAUAAGCAAUAUGGACCAGAAGAAUAUAAAGAGAUCCUGAUGGCUGUCAGAACAUAGCAGUUGGCCUUGAAGACAAACUGCCUUCCAGCCACAAUCCCUUACCAUGGCUGACACAGCGUGCUUUGGAAGCAGGUACAUGGUGACCUCCACAGAUGGCAGCCAGCAGCAGAAACACAGUUGGACCUGCAGCGAUAACAGCACAACAAAAAAGGCUGGCACUUUGGAUUGCAACAUUACUGAAAUGAAAAGCGUGAACGCUACAGGAAUUUCUGGUCUAUGGAAAAAUGUUAUUUUUGGAUUCUUCAGGAAGGCGUGCAUAUAAAACCACUGGUU